CACAGUGACUGCCCUGGCUUUCUUUGCUUUGCCUCCUGUCUGUGUUUGAAAUCCCGAAAUCACCGCCUUGAGCUCUGAAGCCCAGCGGCUCCGAGGCUGCAAGCCUCUCCGCUGGCCCCAGAUGUGCAGCAUGCAGCUUGAAUCUCUGAGGACUCUGGUGGUGGAUGCCAACUCCAACUCACAGUGGGAAUCUGGCCCACAGGACCCAGCCUGCCACCCUCCAGGGAGCCGUGGAGAUUUCAGGAUUUCUCCUCUGCGAAAUGGGGAUAACAGCUCCCUCUUCAUCCGGUUAUGGUCAGGGCUGACCUAAGGGGGCUGAGGGUGAAGGCCACAGGCUGAGAAGCUCUUGCCAGUGGUCAGUGAGGAGCAGCAAAUUCGGGUCUUGGCACUUGAACUGUGGGAGGAUCAAUGCUGCUUGAAGCCAUCGGUUUCUGGGAAUUUGUCACAGCAGCCCAGGAAACACAUGCAGAAGGUUUGGAGAUUGGUCUUUCCGAUGACUAGGGUGCUUUGUGCCCAUUUCAACACUCUCUGCCCUCAGUGGCACAUUCAGACCACGUUGACUUGGGCAAUGGAGUCACCCUCUUUGGUUUCUGAAAUGCGGACACACGUUACAAUGGAAACGAGCACUUGGGGCUCCCUGUCUCGGAAAAGUUGUUGAAUCAAUGCACGUUGAUUGCUUCAGCAAUCUAGGAAAUACUAUCCCAACAAAGCAAUUUGAAAUUCCAAACCUGUGACCACUGGACAAGAUCACCUUUCUCCCACUGAGAAGAAGAUCAGCGUUGGCUCGGGCCAAGUCUGGGAGACAGACAAGGCCUCCUUUCAACAUCGUGCCUCCAGGGGAACCAGGCCAAGUAUCGGCCCUCCAGAGACAGCUGCAGCCCUUGGAGGCCUCCCCACUGAGUCCACACCCCUGGCCCAGGGCACUCAGGCUAGCUGACCGGCCCUGCUCCCUGGCCAGCCUCAUUUCCUCCUGUUCUCUUGCUUGGUGCCCCUAGCAGCCGUCUUGCACCUGGCCACUGCUUCCCACGCCAGGGCCUUUGCCUUUGCUGUUCCCCUGCCUGGCAUGGUCUCGUCAUUCAGGGCUCAGCCUGAAUGUCACCUCCUCCUGGAAGCCUUACCCUCAUCUCGUUAUGUCCUACCCCAUCACCCUAUUUCUUUCCCUUGGGUCACCAGUAAGAACCUGGGUUGAGCUUGUGCAGCCGUCUCAUUGUCUUAGCCUCACGAAACUGUAAACCCUUUGACAAAAGGGAUCUGUCUGGUUUGUUUGACGUGUAACCCCAGCUUCCAGCCUAGCACAGAGAAAGCUCCAUGGAGACACUGACUGUCAGAUGACUGCAGACCUCCCCACAAGGAGGAGGGAAGCUGGCCUCCAAGGAGGCGCAUCCCACAGUGCAGUGGUCUCUGGCCAGGGUGGGUCAUUACGCCAUUGGUUUAUAGCGCCAUUUGCUUCGGCCCCUUUUGGUGGCAUCCCAGGGUUUAAAGUGACCAGGCAGCUAGUGUGGGGAGACGGGACACAGCUGUCUGAGGUCAGGGGGUCUGUAUGUGCCUCUCCGGCAGGGAACAGCCUCGGCCGUCAGAAGCCAGGUUUCAGCAUUUAGGAUGCAGCCAACAGCCAAAUUGCUUUCUUGGUUUUAUAUAUAAGGGCUUUUUUUGGUACCAUAAGGGCGGGUGGACAGGGCUGCCUUUGCUUCCUGGAGGGUCUGGUUCCUUUCGGGGAAGGUCUCAGUUGGCCACUGGAGUAACAGCACUGCGUCGGCCCAUGUGGCCAGCCAGCAUCCCUGUGCUCAUGGCUAAGGACAGGCUGUUACUCUGUUCUGCGGGUCUUGAAGUCAUUUGGUCAAGUGGACUUCAGAAGGAGAGAGAGAGAAGGACAGACAGCAUCCAUGGAGACUGCCACAGAGAAUGGAAAGAGAAUGGGAUCUGCAGUCUGAUGGGCUGGCAUAUCUCAGCAGCAGCAACAACAACACAAUAAUAUGGAAUUCAGUCCAGGCACGGUGGUUCCCGCCU
rnacentral:lncRNA from 1 species